rnacentral:tRNA from 1 species
GCCACGGUGGUCUAGCGGUUAGAACGCUGGCCUUGUAAUCCUGGGGUCUCGGGUUUGAUUCCCGGCGGUGCCC